GUUUUGUUGGCUAUUACAUAUUGUUUUUAUUUAAUGGCGACCGGUAUUAUACCGAUUAUGAGAUUUUGAAAUUAAAUUCUGUUACAUAAUGAAUGGUAUUGUUGUGAUAUCAAUUGCAUCAUUUGUUUAAUGGUUAUGUAAGGAAGCUGUGAACCAGAAGUUUUUCAUCUUUUCUCAAGCGCUUUUAAGUGGAGGGAUUCACGAUGAUUAUUUCUUCAAACUACGUUAAUUGAUUUUACGAGAUUCCCAACGGAGGCCACCCUUCCUGGGAUUGGUGGAUGGUCGAUCAUGAUUGGUCGGAGGAGUUGUGGGAAUCUCCGUUCUGUUCUGCGUCAGGAGGGUGGUUCAGUCACGCAGGGUUCUCCGUCGUCUCUGCUUCGUGGGUAGUCUUUGUUAGAGAACGUGGGUGACAAGUGCCAAUACCAUCUCAGUAGAAUUGGACAAGAUUCGUUCCCCCCAUAUGUUGGUGUAAAGGGAAAAAAUAUGGUGCUGGCUUAUGCUUCCCCAAUCCCCUUCUGAGCUUCGAAAGGAUUUCGAGACUGGGUGGAGCCUCCGUUCCCUACCACUUUGCAUCCACUGGUUAAGAAGGCAAAGGGUAGGCAGUCCUUCGGCAACAGCUGAAGGAAAGGGAAUCCUAACUCCUAUGAAACAUUGCGAAUGAAAAUUAUUAACAGUUCCUAAUUUUUAAUCUGUUAAUAUCACACAUCUUAUUUGUACUCUAAAUUUUAUUCUAAUCCGGGUGUUCUUAAUUCCUAAGUUUUUAAAUUCUAAUUUGAAGAAUAACAUAAUCGACGUGUGUGUGAAAUUGUUGUUCAACUGAAAUUACAAGGAUUGCAUCUUUGAUACAGUAGAAAUGGAUGUUACCAACUGAGUUUCUGUCAUAACGUCGCCCUGAGCUGCUUCAGUGAACAGAAGGAGCGAUCGCUAGAUGGCGACACGAAUGUAACAUGAUAGUAAUUAUUACACAAGAUAGAAAUUUCCAUGACUCUGGAAAAUCAUCGUCCACAUUUGGUACUUUAUAAUGUGGCCAAUUAGAAUAGAUGAUUUAGAAGAAUUAAA